CGAGUGUCGUUACAGGCGCAGUGCGGCUGUGGGAUGUAAGGCGCAAUGGCGACGGUCGAGACGUUUUGGAGGCCAAAAUAAAGCCAACCAGCGGACGGAAGGUAUCUGCACCUGAACAGAACCGCCACCGCAGAAUGGUGAAGCUGCAACGUCAAAAUGGAUCCUGAAGUGACAGUGUCUUCACCCUCGAGUGUUGUGUCCUAUUCCGGGCCUCAGAACAGAAUGAGCAAUCUUGCUGCCAAACAGAGGGACGGCAGGAGGUCCUCGUCCACCACGCCGCCCUUUCUGUCGAACCUGGGGAGAGCCACACUCCGGGGCAUUCGCAAGUGUCCUCAGUGUGGCGUCUACAAUGGCACGCGGGGGCUCAGCUGUAAGAACAAGGCUUGUGGGAUCUCCCUGAGGACUGCCUCCGAGGGCGGCCGGAGCAGGAAGGCUGGCGCGGUGGAGGUGGUGAAAGUCAUCACCGACAGCAUAGAGAGAGAUGGGAAAGAGGCUGACGGAGAGGUCCGGAGCGUUCAGGUCUUCUCGGUGUGUCACAGGGAACGAGGAGUGUCACAGUUGGGCUUUGUCCAGCUGGUGCCCACUGACACCGCCAUUGCCACCGGCGAUGGAGCAACACUUCUCACCCUCAUCAAUCUGGGCCGCUGCUUGUUGCCCACGUGCAAGAGGGCUCAGAGGUCCAGUCAGCCAGAGUCUGCGGCGGCCAACUCCAAACAGUCGGCCAACAGCAUCUGCAUUCACAUCAAAAAAGCCAUCGAGUGCCGCGCCAACGCCACCCCGCUGACUCUAAAGAGUUCUGUCCUGGAGGGUCUGCAUGUCUCGUUCGAGGACAAGGAGCUCCUUUGGAGGCUGGCCACAGAGUCUCCGGGGCCUCUGGUGCAGCGGGUGUCUAAGGACACCCUGGUAGUGAAGUGUCAGACGGACUCCCAGCAUCCUCUCGGUCUCCUGCACCUCACCGUGGGUGCGAGCGGCCUGCCGGAGGCGGGGAAGAGCAGAGAGGUUCGGCACCAGCAGGAGGUCUUCAAGUGUAGCUGCCAGGCAACAGCGGGAAGUCCUGCUGAUGCUGCUGACGCCCUGCGGGUCAACGGUGCCACGCUGCCCCUCUGCCUUCACUUCUACGCCUGCGUAUGCGCUUUGAAGAGUGACGACACACUGGCCAAAGAGUUUGCAGCCUUCAUCAACUACUCACCUGCUGGGGUGCAGCAGAACUUGGUCUGCUCUGCUUCUGGUGAAAAGCCUUUACAGCGGCCUCAUCAAAAGUUGAAGAGAUCACGCCUGGAGGAUGGCCUCGCAGGGUCCCCCCCACAGGAGGGAGCGUCUGCCUCUGGUGUGAGGAAGGCUGGUCAGAGAAGAGCAGCUCCAGAGCUGAAGGCAGCAGAUGGUUCUCAUGUCGUGGAUGAGCAUGCGCUGACGAUGAGCUUCCAUCAGUGGCUGGCCUGCGUCACGGAGAGGAUCCACCACACCAUGCACUACCAGUCGGACGGGAAGCCGGAUCCAUUGGUCUUCUUCAUCCCUCAAGAGUUCUUCAGCGCGCUGCAGCAUCGCUUGUCGCUCGGCUCCAAGAAGAGGAGGCUUCCAAACUCAACCACAGCUCUGGUCGGGGCCGACGGACUUCCAGGUUCCUCCAGGUACACGUGGCACAUCUCCAGUCUGAAGCAGGUCAAGCAGAUCUUCGACACCCCUGAGCUCCCUCUAGAGUUCAUCCAGAGUUUUGUACGAAACGCAGACGGCUCCUUCUCGCGCUUCAGGUGUCCGGAUGCUCCAGCGGAGCCGCCGUCAGAGCAACACCGUCCUGAUCGACCGCACACCAUCAGGCCGAUGGAGCUGCGCACUCUUCUCAAAGUUGGUCCGAGCGCCGAUAAUUCGAGCGAGAACACUCCGUUUGUGAUCGAGUGGAUCCCCGACGUCCUCCCGCGCUGCCACAUGGGGGAGCUGCGGCUCAGCUUCGAGUUCCAGCACCUGCAGAGCGGUCCGUCGGACCCAGACAGGCCGAGCUCAGGUGUCAAGUCCGAGUCUAAAUGAAGCCCUUCACGCACCACAUUCAUCACUGCUCUCCACGGUCGGAGGAAGAUUGUGCCUGCAGCAUCUCAAGUCGCCAUCUGGCCGGGCUGCAGUACUCAAAGGGCCACAGGUGGCCCUCACUUUGCUGUGGUCAGAGAUCAGUAGUUGAGUUCAGGAGACGUGAGGUGGCUCCAAGUCUCGACUGGUGUGCCGACGCUGCCGUCAGUCAACAUCGGUGGAAGCAGAACUGGGUCUGGGAUCUGUCUGCGCAGAGACGUGGAGCUGACACCUCCUCUCAGCGCCGUCGAUCCACAUCAGCUACUUUCCUGACCAGAAAACCUCACCGCAGUCAGUGAUCCUGGAGAGGAGCGAGAGGAGCUGACCUCAUUCUGGAAGAGAAGCUUUCCAAACAGAUAUCUCGUGACUCAGCCCUGCCGAGAGGUCAAUCCUGGCCUCUCAGAUCCGAUCUCAGAAACUUCCUCUGCUGCUGCAGUCACAAAGACACAUGGAUGUGGGCGAGUUAGCUUCCACUCCUCUGUCCAGAAAGCUUUGCUGCUCUUCGACCUUGAAAAGGAACAGCCAACACGUUGGUGAUCCAGGCGGAGCGGACUUGUCAGCGCCUCUGUGACCAGUGGAAAGCGACACCUUCCACCGUCAGAUUCUCCUCAGCCUUGGCUUGAGUGGAAGUCCAGAUCGGCACUUAACCUUUGACCUCUGAGCUCUGUCAACCCAGGAGGAAAACAACCUACUCAAGUGGCUCUUUGAUGCGGUCAGGAGUUCCACCUUUAAAUCUUUCAACACUUUCUGACCUCACAAGUGGCCUGAUUUCAGGAAGCGUGUCCCACCUCUGGGGAACAAGCACUGUCAUGACCUGCUGUUUGGAGUAUGUACCAUUGGUAGCAUAAACCUUCCUUACCGAGGCCUUCAACCGCCUUAAGUUGUUAGUGGCCUGCACACAUCCAUCUUGGUAUCCCUCCUGUACCAACACCCAAGGUUCUUCCCGCACGUCAUGAGCUCUCUGAGAAACCCACACUGCACCUGGGACAAGCGCAUGCUCUUCUCAUUUCCUUGUGACGGGAACCAGUGAAUCCAGAACACCUCAGAGAACAAUGACCAUCCCAUUCCUGGGGCUUGACUCUGUGUGGGCUACAAGGUUGGGCUGUAACUCCAGAUCCAGAGUUCAGCUCAUCAUUUGGUUCAUGGAAGCAGCUUCUUCGACUCAAACUAGAAAGAGUCUUUGGGAACCAGUUAAGUGACGGUCUCACGACGGAGACAGACGUGGCUCGAUGCGUUUGGAAGUGCGGCUCCGCUCCACGAUACCUGGCUCUGUUGCUCCUCUGAGCGAAUCGCAUCACUAUUUUUCACUCCGCUGAAUACAAGCUUGCCGCGUGGUGAGCGGAUCUGUCACUGCGGCAUCAUGACCGGAGGAAACGCCGGCCAAUUAUGAGCGUGUAAAAUAGCGAGGGAAAGUUCCCGCUGUGUUGAGUGACGGAGCUUUCUGUCCGAUGGUUUACACGAGUGCCUGUGUGGCCCUCAGCUGCUUCUCUGCCGCGUGAUGAUCCACAAAUGAGUCUCGAAGAUGGAGAUGGCGUGACUCAGUGCUACCAGGGCGGAACUCCGGUUUACUGGCGAGGUGAUGACUGUCUGAGGAAUUGUUUGAUUCCGACAGAGUCAGAUGGUUUAAUCGGAGACUCGGGAGCCAGUUUUGGAAUCUAAAAACUUUGGGAUCCUUUCCACAUCGCAGUAGUCCGAUAUAUAGGUAACCGAAUCCUUACUACCUCACCAGAACCUUGUUGUGUUGAGGUCCAUAAAGACUGGUUCAGGAAUGGUGAGGGGAUCAGGCUGAAUUUUGAUACCUGGGCUGCAUCACUUGCCCUUCAAAUGUCCUUCCACUGUGAUAAACCUCGGUAAGGGUUCUGGACCUCCAGCCCUCACAGAUACAGCAGGGCAUUGUCCACCGUGCCCAACAAUCGUGACCCAUUCUUGCACCAAACCCUGGUGCUCAGAUGUUGGUUGAGCGACAUGCCACCUGCCUCUGUGGAUGUUCCAACCAUCCAUGUUCCACCCAUUUACGUUGAACUGUUCCCGGAGCAUCUAAACACCUCGGUAUUGGGUUUCGCUCGGUGUCCAUCAGUGUAAAGACCUUGUUGGUAUUCAGCCCACGUCUGUCCAUCAGCAUCAGUUACCGAACAAGACGGGAGGUUGACUGCCAUCAGAACACGAAGCCUCUGUUGUGUAAACCUAUAAGCAGCUAUCAGCAGCGCGAUCUGCGCUUUAUCGACGGGCAGUUUUUCAUUUCUCCAGACAGGUGUCUCCAGUGGCGUCGCUGGCACGCCAACAAAAGGCGAGGACGUGCUGACGUGUGUCUCGGCAGCUGAUAAGCUGGGUUUGUUCAUGGCGUCGGGGUAGAUUUCAUUCCACUCCAGACUCCACUCAUUAAUUAAACAUGGCGCUGUCACAUCCCUCACUCAGCGUGAAGAACGAGGGAGGACGACGGAGGGAGAGAGAGUCGCCCACUGUGAAGGAAGAACUGGCACCAGAUUCAACCCUCUCUGAAUGUUCUAAAAAAGUCCUGAUCUACCUGGUGACUGUGGUCUGAAGCCAGCAGGACACCAGGACCGCCAGCGUGCUGACACUUGUGGAGGGAACUCAAGGCAGAAGCUCGGCUCCACUGAGUCACGACAGUUGUCACGGUGUCUCCUGGGAUAGGGAAGAGCUCAAAUGGGAGGAGGACCCGGGGCAUACCCAGGACUCCUUGGGGUGAUGUGACCUCAUGGAUGCAGACCUGUAAACCUCUGCCAAUAAGGAGAGCAGAAUCACAGUCCGCAAGACGUCUGUAUAAUAAACUCUUUUCCAGCUAUUAAAGUUGGCUGAUGACAACAAUAUCAUAAACUUAAUAGAAAAAAACAAAAGGUUCCAUCUGCGUCCAGUUGUUUUCACUGGUGCUGUCACACUGUAAACAAGGCCUUGGAGAUGAGUUAUAGUCCACUGCGACUGCAAAAUUGACUGCAACAGAAGCACUGACAAAAUGAUGACUUGAAUACGUCGAGGAGCAUCUGCCUAAAUUCUCACCAAAAAUGUAGCGUGGAGAAAAGAGAACAAGAGAAGCUAGCAGUCCGUAUCGCUAACAUCCUGGUCCAUGGCAUCGUGACCUGAAGCGCCGCGGCCCUCUCACCUUCGCCGCUUCUCCCCUCCACCCUCCAUCCAUCAGGCUGCUCUCAUUGUUUUGACACGGAGUUCAUUCUCAGCUGGUGAUUUAUCAAAUUCUUAUUAGCGCCCGCUGAAAGCCUCAUUCGUUGUCUUGAUCUGCGCUAACGAUGCCACUAAUGACUCCUCCUGGCCUCCUCUCUCCGCUGCCUUCCACCGUAUGUCUCCGUCAUCUGACCUGUCCAACAUUACGACCACCUGCUGGUCCUGUAUCUGGAUCUAAGUGGUUGUUGCAAGUCUGCAGUGGCAAGUACCUGCGAAAGGAAGGAAACGCGUUGAUACUCAACUGUUGAGUUGCUGCAUUUAUAGUGAGUUCAAAGCGCCCUCUACAGGUCGGCAGUAAUAUUUACUAAGGAUAAAAUUCCCUCUAAACAUCGAGAGGCUAACAGUCAGCACCUGCAGCUACUUCAGGCCAACCAACAUAAAAACCAAAUGUCAGAAAAAAGUUUCUUUGAACUUAAAAAUGGAACAACCGAUCCUCAACAAUUCUAUCUUUGUGAUCUUCACGAUGUUGGUCAGCAUUCGUUGUCUUGUUUUUUAAGUCUGAGUUUGGCUUCACCAUGUUAGUGAAGGUUUUUAUGAUUUGUUUGUCAUGCUCUUGUUUUGUUGCUAGUCGUCGUUUUUCUGGUGCUGAAAUUGUUUCCAUGCCGAUCAUUUGUGAGCUUCUGUUUUUGGAUCCAUCUUUUUGGAACGUCCACUGUUAGCAUCAGCAUGUGCUGCAUGUGAUCCCAAAAACCCAUUUUCUGUUCAAGCCUUUAUUUCGGACCGUCAAGAUAGACUGAAGCCAGGCUACGCUAACAGCGUAAAUGCCAUAAGCUAGUAAUGCUAACCAUUAGCUCUUAGCAUCCUUGUAGCUGGAACCAUAUAGAUUUUUUUAUGUUUUCAGUCACAACUGUUGAAUGAAAAUAAACAUUACUAAAAACUGUGCAGUGUUAGCAGUUAGCGUCACUGGUGCUAAUACCCCAGGUAAUGCUGAGCUUGUACUCUGACCUGAGAGACUAAGUCAGGAGUCAGCCUCGCACACACCCCUCCCCCCUACACUCGCUCCUUCAUUCAUUCUGGCACCUCAUCCUCACUGAGUGACUCUCUGCCUCCCCCCAUCUUUGUCCCAUUUCCCAACAAGCCCUUGAUCAUUCUCACUGGUCCUGCACCCUCCUCUUCGCCCCCUCCCUACUACUCCUGAGUCCAUCAUGUCCAGUUCUGGACUGGGGCCGUCUUCUGACGCCGCAUUCAUCAGUGCUGAGAAACAGAAAUCACUCUCCACUGGCCGCCGGCACUUAUUGCUCCAUCCAUCACACCUGGCAGGUGAUCGAUUCCUCCCCCCUCCUCCACUCCCCUCCCCUUCCUGCCCGCUCCUCCUCUUGCUUGCAUAUUUCAGAGCUCAGUCCUGUCGCGGGAGCUGAGUCGCUGUGUUAUCCUGGUGAUGUCAUGAUGAUGUCAUCACUGAGCUAAAGUCACUGUUUCAGCAUGUAGCUGUAGCGUGUUGAAAUGCUAACAUAGCCACAGUGCUCCUGUAAAAAUAAUAAUAAUAGCAUGGUAAUAACAGAUGCUCCUGAGCUCACUUCCUCGCCCCCCUCCAUCACUGUCUGGUUGUCAGCUGCAGUUGCUUUGAUGUUUCGAGACAGUAGCGGUCAUAAGCAGCCACAUGGGGCCGUGCGGGCGCUCAGUCUGGAGGUCACGCUGACAGCACCAGUCUUUCUCCGGUGGGAAGAAGGUUUCCCCAGCCUCCCUCUCUCUGAGCACAUGUGGCAUCCAUCUCCUUCCUUGGCCCCGUUCUUGCUCCCAUCCGUCUCCUCGUGAGAGAUGGAUCGCAGAGCUCUGAGCAAGAAGGAUGGGAACUGUCGGUGAGGAAGCUCCCGGCAGCUGAGGCUCAUUCAUCUCCGCGCCGGCGAGAGAUGAAAGACGUGAGGGGAUCUGGAUCGAUGCGUGUUGAUGCUGAUGCAGCUAUGACAUCAGCGCAGUCGCGAGUCAGCAAAGUUUGACAACUUCACACACGUCAGUCAAGGACUCCGGAGGUCAGAGAUGCUUCGGGUUAGUUGCUCUGUGAAAGUGUUGUUUGAAUGCUUCAGUCAACCACGUUGUGUGUCAGGCUUGUCGUGGAGAGACAGUUGGCUUGUGUGUUGCUUUGCAUUUAUUGACUUCAAGGAUUGUGAUUUGUGGUUGUGCAGGGUUUUUUUUUUGUGUUUCUUAGCUUGUGUUUGUGUCCAGUGAUUUGUUAUAUUCUCUGAGGUUCGGCAAAUUGUGUUGCAUCACUCGCUCCUGUGUUACAGCUUUGGUGUUGUGCUGUGUGACGUGUCGGCUUUUGAGUCUCUGAUGUGCAGCUGUGAAUUUGUUUGUGUCUUCCCGCUGUCUCGCUGCAGCAAGUCGCUCCUGACUUGACUGAAGACGUCCAAGUGCAGCGGGUGCAAGGGAGGCCCGCGGAGGGUGGGUGGUCCUCGUCUGUCGUCGCGGCGAUUACAGCCGACAGCUCAGUCACAGGCCAAUAAUCUUCACCAUCAUCGCCCUCAUCAGCGGCUCAGAUCUUCUUACAGCAGAUGUCGCUCACUGAGCUCCCGUCCUGUCUGGUCGGGCCGCUCUCUUCAGCUUUGUAUCGUCCACAUUUUGCUGGUUCAUUGCCGUUUGUCUCUUCAAAAUAAACAUUUUCUCCCCUAAAAAUGAUAUAACAAAACAAAAUCAUCAAUGGAUCUAAUGUGGUUUUGUGUUCGUUCAUAAAAAUGGCUUGGAUGCUGUCAUCAGAACAGAAUGUCAAAGUCUCCAGUUCAUCUGCGCUGCCUUGCUCCAGGACACAUGGGCUCCGGUCCUUGCUGUGGACGGCUCACCGCAGUGUGACGGCGCUGCUCCUCACUCCUCUGACAACUCUGAUUUAUGACUCCAGCAAACAGAUGCGGCCGGCAGACACCCGGAGCGGACAGGAGGAGUUUAACCUGAUGGAUUAUGCUGUCGGUCUGGUCCGUGGACUUCUGAAACAUAAUCUGUCUGAGCAGCACGAGGAGCGCAGGACUCCCGAGGAACCCGCUCCCCUCUUUGCUGGUGUUGUAUUAGCAUACCUUUGCUGGAGCGCUGGUGGAAAUUGAAUUUCCUGGCUUCCUGUAAACAUCUCCGCUGGAUUAAAGUGUCAGCGAGUGAUCUACUGUGACCCCGCUGUCGCCGUGUCAUCUUUCCUCGCCCUGCUGAUGGAUGAUCUGGCCACUCUGGAGGCUAGGAAGGCUUUCAGCUGCCCACCUUUUUGAGCAACGUAAACAGACUGUUGUCAGGGUGUUAAACCUGGUCGACAACAAGAGCGACUCAGAAUCAGAAGCAGAUUUAUUGCCAUGGUCAGUGGGGAGCCCACCAACCAGGAAAGUGCUUUGAAAUAAAGUGCUGACAAAAAAUAAAUAAUAAAAUAAAAUAAAGGCUGAUCACAAAUUCAACAGUCUGACGGCCGAGGGGAAGAAGCUGUUCCUGUGACGGGAGGUUCUGGUCUGGAUGGACCGUAGCCUCCUGCCAGAGGGAAGAGGAACAAACAGUCCAUGUCCAGGGUGAGAAGGGUCGAAGGCUCUGAUCCCACCUGCACGUCUCUGGGUCCUGGAGACAUACAGGUCCUGAAGAGGUGGCAGGCUGCAACCCAUCACCUUCUCAGCAGAACGUACGAUGCACUGCAGUCUGCUCUUGUCCCUGGAGGUGGCGCUGUUGUAGCAGACGGUGAUAGAAGAGGUGAGGAUGGACUGGAUGAUGGCUGUGUAGAACUCCACCAGCAACUUCAUCGGCAGUCGUAGUUUUCGUAGCUGCCUCAAGAAGAACAUUCUCUGCUGGGCCUUCCUGAUGAGGGACCUGAUGGUUGGCUCCCAUUUGAGGUCCUCAGUGACGGUGGUUCCUAGGAAGCAGAAGGAGUCCACGUGCCUCAUGCCUCUCUCUGAGUGAGGCAAGGAUGGAGAAAGAGCUGAGCCAGAAGACAAUGCUGGCUUUCUCCUCUCACCUGUGGUUACCUGUAGUGACCAUAGAAAAAGAGUUUCUCUGUCUGUCUCAGUCAGCCAGGAGAGAAUCACAGGAGGCUCUGUCAGUCCUGGAAUAGUGAGGUGCUCACCUGGGAGGAGGCCCAGGACACGCCGCAGAGAUGAUGUUACCGCUGCCCCCAUGAUCUCAGAUAACAAGUUGAUGAUGAUGGAUGGACGUACAGUGAAAACCAUUUCACUCACACCAGAUCGUCUCCACUGAGGUCUUCUUCUGAGCUCCUCACAGCUCAUUCCUCAGCUGCGUUCAUGUGUCUGGUGAUAAAUGAGUCGUGCACAUCCUGAGAGCUCACAGAGGAAAGAAUAAUGGCCGUUUAAGCACUCUUGUAAAUGACCAACACAUUUGUCUUGGCCCGUCCCUGCAGGCGGCUGGGAGAGUACAUCUGUUCCACAUGGCCCCGUCGGACCUGCUGACACCACUUCAACACAAACUGUCACGCCACGCAGCAUAAUUCAUACAUGGAGCGGUUGUCUCUGCACCUGCGUGUGUGUGUGUGAGGCUCAGCAGGUGUGUGUCGGGUCACACGGAGUUCAUCUCCAAGUGCUGCCGAAAGGCGUGCUGGACCUCCUGCAGUGGAGCCGGAUUAUCUGCUCCCCCGCGGACUGCUGCCUGUUCAAACGCUUGUUCCACCUAGCGGUGACCAACGUCACGCACUUAGUUUUGGAGGCAGAAAUUCUUCUCAGUGGAAACACGUCACCAGCUAUCAGAAGGUUCCAGUGGUCUUUUCCUGUCUUAUCUUGUUCCCCCGAUGAAGCCAGUGAAAACCGACCUGUGAUGAAGAAGAAGAUGAAGAAGACGGGCCAAGAAAUGGCCCAGAAAGGUCUGGAUGGAAUUUGGUUCAAGUCAGAGCCAGACCUCAUGAGGUGAAGCGUGAAGGUGGAGGACCUGCCACGGUGACCUCUGGAGAAGAGGAAGUUCAGGAGACAGCAGAAUUUGUCGUUGACUCUUCCUCGGCUCUCGCUUUCCAGGCCUCUCACCAGCCGGUGUUUGUCCAACACGCUGAGCGGUUUCCAGCUCCGACUCCUCCCCUCCCUCCAUAAACAGUCAUUAACGUUUAUGACAGGUGUCGUGACAUGUUUACGACUGCAUUAUGUCUGCUUUACGAGUCGCUGUGAAGUCGGCCUUUUACUAGCCGGCCUCCCGGAGGCAGCUCGCUGGCGGCACAUCCGAGAGACGGUUAAUCACUUUCUUCAACGCACUGGCAAAUAAAAAGGGCUCUGCGUUUGGCAGGAAAGUCACUGCGUCUGACGGCGAGAGCAUCAAACGUCCUCGUGAAUCUCCACCGUCAGACUUUUAUUGGAGGAUCUCUCGCCGCCGUCGCGUUCCAGGUGGUUCUGUCAGAGGCUAGCAACAGCUCCGCGUGUCACCUUGCGGCGUUACGAGCUGUCGUAAAGAUGGGACUGGAUGGGAAGACCAUGAUUCCUCUCGCAGCGUCACGAUCAGUACUGCCAAACAACCGUAGUAGCUUUGGUCCAGGGGAGUGAACAACAGUUCAGUGUUCCAUCAGAAGCAGACUCUGGGAGGGAGGUGCACUUGUGUAGUGAAGUGACACAACAUGAACCUGGUUUACUUUUUUGCUCAUGUACUGGACAAAGUUAGUGUGACUCAUUCACAGUGAUGGUACGGUCAGGUCGCGGGGGCAGCACUGCAGAGAAGAGAUCCAGACUUUCCUCUCUCCAGAUCUGAGUGACUUCAUGAGUCUGCUCUUGAAGAGGACAGGUUCUCCUCUGACUCUCUCCUGUGUGACUGAGCUCUCACCCUCUAAGACAGGGCCCAGAUAACUCCAAAGAAACCCACUCAGUCAGUGCAGAGCUUUGCCUUCUGGCUCAGCUCAACUGUCCAUCUACAUCCUUCCCUCACUCUGGAACAAGACCCUGGGUUAUUUGGUCUUUUCCACCAUCUGGACAUCUCAUCUCCAUCCUGGAGAGAACAUUACUCCCUGACUGAGAAGCACGAUCUCACCGAGAGAAGCUGACCUUUCAACCCGCUGUCUCUCCUCCUCUCACCUGUAUUGAUGCUGUAAUCCCAGACUGAUUCAUGAGCCAAUGAUCCGCACUAACCAGCACUGAAUCAGUUCGGAUCAAUCCUGCCUGCGCCGCGCUGCCCGAUCGUUGCUGCAUCACUGUAUACAUCAGGGGCGGGGAGGAGGGUUGAUCCAGAGGUCGAGUCUCAUUCCAUCUGUCAGCCGAUCGGAUAAAUGGCUCGACACGGUGUGGGAUGCUGUU